CACAUAGCUAUACCUAGAAAGAAAAUCCCAAGUCAUCCAAGUUUACUUUACCUAUUAAUUUAUUAAUCCAAUUAUUUUGUGCAUCGGCUAUAUGCCAGUCACUGAGAUAGGUAUCAGAAUACUGUGAUGAACUAGACGUACCCUCUGCCUAUAGAUGACAUCAACUCAUCUGUAGUCACAUGAUCCCAUGGCAUUCAAGUUCUGAUACUUCCAUCAUUUAUAAAAUAAUUCAAGGAAAUGUGGUUGUUGGAUUGAGUUGCACCUCGAUCCUUGAUUCAGAUGGCUAAAUGCUGUUAGGUAUAUUUUUAGAGAAGGAAGCUAGAAAUGCAAGAUUAAAUAAUAGUCCUUGGAUUUUACAUUCAGUCCUUGGAUGCUGCAUGUUUAAAUACAUUUUUUUUUGUGCCUUUUUUUUUGGCUUUUCUAGGGCCGCUCCUGUGGCAUACAGAGGUUCCCAGGCUAGGGGUCUAAUCAGAGCUGUAGCUGCCAGCCUAAGCCACAGCCACAGCAAUGUGGGAUCCGAGCCACAUCUACGACCUACGCCACAGCUCAUGGCAACGCCAGAUUCUUAACCCACUGAGCAAGGCGAGGGAUCGAACCCACAACCUUAUGAUUCCUAGUUGGAUUUGUUAACCACUGAGCCACGAUGGGAACUCCUAAAUACAUAUUUUAAUCCGUUGCUAAAUGUGUUUCUUUAUGGAAACAACUGAAGUAGGGUCCAAGAGCGACUUAUUUAACAGAAUGCAAUGGAUUUUUUUUUCUUUCUACUCUGUCUCAAUGUUUAUGCCAUCCACACAGAGUUCAAACUCGCUGUCUACUGUCACUGGAUAUCGGCAGUAAUUUGUGAGCCCUCAGUGUUCCUUGUAAUCCCUGCCAACCACUGGGGCCUAGCCCCCCUCAUUCAACCUUUUAGAAAAAAAGGCAUGAACAACCAACUGCUGUCAAAGCACUAGCCCUUGCAUCACUACCCCGAGGUGUCAGCAUCAUUUGUGAAUUCUCCUACAUACCCAAUUCUGGGAUAUCAGAAGAUGCUUGAGACAUGUGAGUUCGUCUAUAAAAACAGAAAAAAAUGGCUCUUUUGGAUCAGGAUACUAGCUGUGACAGAGACUUCAAAAGCAUCUUGUGUAGGAUCAGAGUUGUCCUCUGUUGCAAACUCAAUAUUCAGAACUCAAACAAAACAAAACAAAACCUCUUCCCUCCAUAGCCAGCUCCAUCAACCAUAAACAUGUAACCCUUUACAGAUUUCUAUUUUCAGAGAUUGUUUCCAUUUUUGAGUAAUUAAACACAAAAUUGCAUCAUCCACUAUAUGAAGUGGGGCUUGCUUAUGCACAGUUUACCUUUCGAAGCGUACAUUUUUAGAAAUUCAGGACUUCUGCGUCCUCUUCAUUAUUGUAUCCUCUCAGGCUUUACCUUUCUAGGCUGAAUUAAACUGAUCUUUUCAGCCUGUUUUCAUAAAAAUACAGCUCCUGCCUCUCCCUUACCCUCUUCCAUCUCUCCACUCUCCCACAUUCAUGCUUUGAUCUUAUUUAUCUCUCCAUCACCUUUUUUUUUUUUUUUUUUCCUGAAGGCUAAGUGCCUGGGCUCAAAGGCAGCAUCACAUUUGCAGGAGUGAACCCAUCUUUCGCUUCCAUGAUGGUAGAGCAGUGCUGUUUAGUUUCCAAUACCCUUAAAUAAUGACCAGAAUUUGGUGGCUUUUUGCAGCCAGUACCUUCACUGGCUCACAGGCCCUUUUCUAGAUUGUAUCUAGUAAUCCAGAGUCUGUUACUUCACCUGAUUCAAUUAUUUCCCCACAAGUUCAAAAUCUUUAUUUUUGAAUAAGAAAAAUGAAGAAAUGUCAGGAUUUUCGUCACAUUGUGUUUUGAGAUGACACCCAGGCUAGAAGAAGCAAUGGCUGAUGUGCUCACUAAAGCAAACUGCCAUGUCACGCGGACAUACAACAGCCCUGGGGGAAAGCGACGGAGACGGGCCCACACAGAGAGGAGACAUCUUGCCAGUGCCCCCUCAUAUGAGUGAGCCAUCUUAGAAGUGGGUCUUCCAGCCCCCCAGGAUUUGAGUCUUUCAGUGAGAUCACAGAAAGUAUUGUGGAGCAGAGACAAGCCACGCAUCCUGUGCCCUCUCUGAAUUUCUGGCCCAGAUUAACUCUACGAUAAUAAAUGACAACUGUUUUAAGAUAUGUGGCAUUUGGGUUAAUUUUCUGUACCACAGUUAAUAACCAUAUCAUGGUAUGUAGGUAUGAAAAAAACUUUUUUAAAAAAGCAAAAAAUAUACAAUUCAAAAAUCAAGACAGUAGCUACAUUUGCAGGGGAGGCAAAAGAAAAGGAUAAGAGGACACAAGUAAUUGCUCAGUAAUUGGUAAAGAUUGGCCUCUUGGUUGGAUGGCACGUUUUUAAUAGGUAAAUAAUGAAUGAAUGGCUAGAGAGAUAGAUAGAUAGAUAGAUAGGGAAGACAUUGUAUGGUCCAAGGAUGAUAGUGUGUGGGUGAGUCAAGGAUUGCAUUUAAUUCAAUUUAAAUACCUGAGGCCCAAUGAUAAGGAAAGAGAAGAGAGGGAGAGGGGAAUAGAAGAAGGAAGAAGGAUGGAGGGAUGGAAGGAAGGCAGGAAAGAAGGGAGGGAGGGAGAAAGGAAGAAAAAGAGGAGAGAGUGAAGUUAUUAGUUAUUACCUAGUAAAAUUUGAACGUGUUCCCAUGCUUCAACCAAUGUCCACCCCAAGUAUAUACCACCCUAGAGCAAUUCUUGCACCAGAGAGUAGGUAUGAUAUUCACAGAGGCAUUUUAAAGAAGCAAAAAACUAGAAAUAUACUGGAUAUCCAGCAACUGUAAAAUGAAUAAAUGCAUGGUGAUUAGAGAGUGGAAUAUUAUACAGCAAUGAAUACUAAUCACCAUGGAAUAUUAUAUAGCAAUGAAUACUAAUCACCAACAUCAUGCAUCCCCACUCAACUUCAGGGAUAAACAUCCAGAGCUGAUAGAUAGGACAUUCCCAGCAACAGAAAUUUUCUAGACCAUGAUGUUGAGCAAAAGAAGCAGGACAAGAAAUGAUUCCAUUUCUAUGAAGUUAAACACAAACGAAACCAAAUAAUAUAUUGAUCAGAGAUACAUAUAUGUCUGUACAACUACAAUGAAAAGAAAAUAUGCAAAUUUAGACUGGUGGCUGGGAAGAUGGAGAUUCAAUAGGAUAUAUAUGGGAGAUUCAACAGCAAUGGAAAUAUCCUCCUUCUUAAGCAGAGUUUGGGGGAGAUCCACAGAUGUUCAUAUUUUUAUUAUUAAACUAUAUGUAGAUGCUGUACACACCCCUUUAUAGGUACCAUGAAUUUUAAAAAUAAAGAUGAAUGCAAAGCAAGAAAACAGGGAAUAAUAUCACGUAAAGGGACUUAAGCAGAAGAAUUUCCUUCUAACGUAGUGUAACUCCUUGUCUUUUUGAUGUCCCCAGAAUCAGGUAUACAAGAAGCCUCAGCAUCCCUGGUCUCAUCUUUGCCUC
rnacentral:lncRNA from 1 species